GAUGAACGCUGGCGGCGUGCCUAAUACAUGCAAGUCGAGCGAACAGACGAGGAGCUUGCUCCUCUGACGUUAGCGGCGGACGGGUGAGUAACACGUGGAUAACCUACCUAUAAGACUGGGAUAACUUCGGGAAACCGGAGCUAAUACCGGAUAACAUGUUGAACCGCAUGGUUCAACAGUGAAAGACGGUUUUGCUGUCACUUAUAGAUGGAUCCGCGUCGCAUUAGCUAGUUGGUAAGGUAACGGCUUACCAAGGCAACGAUGCGUAGCCGACCUGAGAGGGUGAUCGGCCACACUGGAAGUGAGAAACGGUCCAGACUCCUACGGGAGGCAGCAGUAGGGAAUCUUCCGCAAUGGGCGAAAGCCUGACGGAGCAACGCCGCGUGAGUGAAGAAGGUCUUCGGAUCGUAAAACUCUGUUAUUAGGGAAGAACAAAUGUGUAAGUAACUAUGCACGUCUUGACGGUACCUAAUCAGAAAGCCACGGCUAACUACGUG
rnacentral:rRNA from 1 species